rnacentral:lncRNA from 1 species
GGUCCCUCCCCGUCCCUGGGCUCCUCUGCAGUCCCCCUCGGCCUCCUCAACGCAGCUUUCCCAGCAGCUUAGGAUAUCGGUUUUUGUUGGACUUGAAAUUGGGAGUUGAGGGCGGCCUGGAGGCGCGCGGGAAGGAGAUUUGGGGUGCGGCUGCUUCAUAAAGAUGUUGCCUUUUACCCCAGCAGUCCCCCGCCCCCUACGCGGGGUGGUGGCAGGAAACCGGUUCCUGAGUUUUCCUUCUUUCUUUUCCUCGACACGACCUCCCCACCAGUGUGUUUCUGUUUAUCCUCCUCGCCCGGGGGCUGGGUCCCUGGCGAAGCCUCGUUUUCACCCACCCACCCCCAAGCCAGAGCUCACCAGUGAUGUAAUGCGGGACCCGCGCGGGGAGGGGAAACGGCAGCCUCAACCGCCUGGCAGCGGCGGUUUCUUCUCUUCGUGAAAAUCGUGAUCUCAUCUCUCCGUCCAAGGGCGAAAAAACAGCCAUCACCAGGCCAUUCACGCUUUGUGCUUUUGUUAGCAGAGCCCAGGCAGCCCUGCAGCCCACAUCUAGGGUACAAACGGAACGGCGGCGUUUUCCUUGUAUCAUUUAGAGGAAAUUUUUGAGCUGAACAGUAUUUUUUUUCUCCCUCUCUCUCUCUCUGAAAUAUUGCUGAGAUUUAAAGGAGGACGAAGACAACAGAUUCAUAGCUGGGUCUUGCUGUUUUGCUGACGCUGACCACAGCGGAUCUAGAUUCUCUGCAGAAGACAGCAAGAUGCCCCCAGGGAAUGUUUGUGAAAAAGGAUGACUGGAUGGGAAGCAAGCUGAAGAAAAAGAGGGAAAGAAAGAGAGAAAUCAGUAAAUCACCACACAAGAGGUGGAGAAGAGGACUUAUAAAUAUUGUUUCUAUGACAUUUGAAAAUAAAUGUUUUACUCCAUGCUAAUAGUGAAUGUGGUGUCUUCAGUUUGAAGGGCUUUAAGUGAAGCUCAUUAAAAC